AUUGAACGCUGGCGGAAUGCUUUACACAUGCAAGUCGAACGGCAGCACGGACUUCGGUCUGGUGGCGAGUGGCGAACGGGUGAGUAAUGUAUCGGAACGUGCCCAGUCGUGGGGGAUAACGUAGUGAAAAUUACGCUAAUACCGCAUACGAUCUAUGGAUGAAAGCGGGGGAUCGCAAGACCUCGCGCGAUUGGAGCGGCCGAUAUCAGAGUAGGUAGUUGGUGGGGUAAAGGCCCACCAAGCCAACGAUCUGUAGCUGGUCUGAGAGGACGACCAGCCCCACUGGAACUCAGACAGGGUCCAGAAUCCUACGGGAGGCAGCAGUGGGGAAUUUUGGACAAUGGGCGAAAGCCUGAUCCAGCCAUUCCGCGUGCAGGAUGAAGGCCCUCGGGUUGUAAACUGCUUUUGUACAGAACGAAAAGGUUUCUACUAAUACUAGGAGCUCAUGACGGUACUGUAAGAAUAAGCACCGGCUAACUACGUGCCAGCAGCCGCAGUAA
rnacentral:rRNA from 1 species